CCUACGGGUGGCAGCAGUGGGGAAUAUUGCACAAUGGGGGGAACCCUGAUGCAGCAACGCCGCGUGGGUGAAGAAGUACUUCGGUAUGUAAAGCCCUGUCAGUAGGGAAGAAAAUGACGGUACCUGACCAAGAAGCCCCGGCUAACUACGUGCCAGCAGCCGCGGUAAUACGUAGGGGGCAAGCGUUAUCCGGAUUUACUGGGGGUAAAGGGAGCGUAGACGGGUAGGCAAGUCUGGAGUGAAAGCCUGUGGCCCAACCACGGGACUGCUUUGGAAACUGUGUUACUGGAGUCCAGGAGGGGUAGGCGGAAUUCCUAGUGUAGCGGUGAAAUGCGUAGAUAUUAGGAGGAACACCGGUAGCGAAGGCGGCUUACUGGACUGUAACUGACGCUGAAGCACGAAAGCGUGGGGAUCAAACAGGAUUAGAUACCCGAGUAGUC
rnacentral:rRNA from 1 species